rnacentral:rRNA from 1 species
UUAGCGUGGGCGGGCGGGCUUAACACAUGCAAGUCGAGCGGGGGAGAGGUAGCUUGCUACCUGAACCUAGCGGCGGACGGGUGAGUAAUGCUUAGGAAUCUGCCUAUUAGUGGGGGACAACAUUCCGAAAGGAAUGCUAAUACCGCAUACGCCCUACGGGGGAAAGCAGGGGAUCUUCGGACCUUGCGCUAAUAGAUGAGCCUAAGUCAGAUUAGCUAGUUGGUGGGGUAAAGGCCUACCAAGGCGACGAUCUGUAGCGGGUCUGAGAGGGACGAUCCCUCACACUGGACUGAGACCCGCCCAGACUCCUACGGGAGGCAGCAGUGGAAUACUGACAAUGGCGCAAGCCUGAUCCAGCAUGCGCGUGUGUGAAGAAGCUUUGGUGUAAAGCACUUAGCGGAGGAGGAGGCUACUAGAUAAUACUCUAGGAUAGUGGACGUUACUCGCAGAUAGCACCGGCUAACUCUGUGCCAGCAGCCGCGGUAAUACAGAGGGUGCGAGCGUUAAUCGGAUUUACUGGGCGUAAAGCGUGCGUAGGCGGCUUUUAAGUCGGAUGUGAAAUCCCUGAGCUUAACUUAGGAAUUGCAUUCGAUACUGGGAAGCUAGAGUAUGGGAGAGGAUGGUAGAAUUCCAGGUGUAGCGGUGAAAUGCGUAGAGAUCUGGAGGAAUACCGAUGGCGAAGGCAGCCAUCUGGCCUAAUACUGACGCUGAGGUACGAAAGCAUGGGGAGCAAACAGGAUUAGAUACCCUGGUAGUCCAUGCCGUAAACGAUGUCUACUAGCCGUUGGGGCCUUUGAGGCUUUAGUGGCGCAGCUAACGCGAUAAGUAGACCGCCUGGGGAGUACGGUCGCAAGACUAAAACUCAAAUGAAUUGACGGGGGCCCGCACAAGCGGUGGAGCAUGUGGUUUAAUUCGAUGCAACGCGAAGAACCUUACCUGGUCUUGACAUAGUAAGAACUUUCCAGAGAUGGAUUGGUGCCUUCGGGAACUUACAUACAGGUGCUGCAUGGCUGUCGUCAGCUCGUGUCGUGAGAUGUUGGGUUAAGUCCCGCAACGAGCGCAACCCUUUUCCUUAUUUGCCAGCGGGUUAAGCCGGGAACUUUAAGGAUACUGCCAGUGACAAACUGGAGGAAGGCGGGGACGACGUCAAGUCAUCAUGGCCCUUACGACCAGGGCUACACACGUGCUACAAUGGUCGGUACAAAGGGUUGCUACCUAGCGAUAGGAUGCUAAUCUCAAAAAGCCGAUCGUAGUCCGGAUUGGAGUCUGCAACUCGACUCCAUGAAGUCGGAAUCGCUAGUAAUCGCGGAUCAGAAUGCCGCGGUGAAUACGUUCCCGGGCCUUGUACACACCGCCCGUCACACCAUGGGAAUUGUGUUGCACCAGAAGUAGGUAGUCUAACCGCAAGGAGGACGCUACCACGGUGUGCCGAGAACCGA